GCGCUGCUGACGAGUCCCAAACAGGAUGAAACAGCUGUCCAGCGC
rnacentral:hammerhead_ribozyme from 1 species